rnacentral:rRNA from 1 species
AUUGAACGCUGGCGGCAUGCCUUACACAUGCAAGUCGAACGGCAGCACGGGUGCUUGCACCUGGUGGCGAGCGGCGAACGGGUGAGUAAUACAUCGGAACAUGUCCUGUAGUGGGGGAUAGCCCGGCGAAAGCCGGAUUAAUACCGCAUACGAUCUACGGAUGAAAGCGGGGGACCUUCGGGCCUCGCGCUAUAGGGUUGGCCGAUGGCUGAUUAGCUAGUUGGUGGGGUAAAGGCCUACCAAGGCGACGAUCAGGAGCUGGUCUGAGAGGACGACCAGCCACACUGGGACUGAGACACGGCCCAGACUCCUACGGGAGGCAGCAGUGGGGAAUUUUGGACAAUGGGCGAAAGCCUGAUCCAGCAAUGCCGCGUGUGUGAAGAAGGCCUUCGGGUUGUAAAGCACUUUUGUCCGGAAAGAAAUCCUUGGCCCUAAUACGGUCGGGGGAUGACGGUACCGGAAGAAUAAGCACCGGCUAACUACGUG